rnacentral:siRNA from 1 species
CCUUUCUACAGGUAUCGAGGCCA